UAAGGAAUAUUGGACAAUGGGCGCAAGCCUGAUCCAGCCAUGCCGCGUGGGCGAGGAAGGUCUUCGGAUCGUAAAGCCCUUUUCUCGGGGAAGAACCGCUUUUGGAGGAAAUGCCAGAGGUUUGACGGUACCCGAGGAAUAAGCAACGGCUAACUCCGUGCCAGCAGCCGCGGUAAUACGGAGGUUGCAAGCGUUGUUCGGAAUGACUGGGCGUAAAGGGAGCGCAGGCGGCUGUUUAAGUCUGGAGUGAAAGCCCGGGGCUCAACCCCGGCGGGUCUUCGGAUACUGGACAGCUAGAGUACGGAAGAGGAGAGCGGAAUUCCAGGUGUAGCGGUGAAAUGCGUAGAUAUCUGGAGGAACACCGGUGGCGAAAGCGGCUCUCUGGUCCGAUACUGACGCUCAGGCUCGAAAGCGUGGGGAGCAAACG
rnacentral:rRNA from 1 species